CAUGACAAUACAGUAGAACAAACAAAUGAAUACACAAGCAGAGGUGGACUGUCAUACCUUACGAGUCCAAACAAGAAAAGUGUAGAAAUUACCAUCUUUGGCGUUUAGAAAGUCAAUUGAGAGAGUAUCAUGGUGGACUAUCGGAGUUAGAUUUAGCAAGAGAUACGACAAACGAGAAUUCGAGUAGACCAGCAAAGAAACAAUCGAGUUAGCUGAUGAAUCCUUCUGGGAGCAGCGUGACUUGGACAAAACGAGCUUGAGAGCAACGACACACCAAACCGAACUACGACAACAGAAGCUAAGCCAAAACUUCCGAUUUUGAACACGGACUAGUGAGACGAGCAGGG
rnacentral:misc_RNA from 1 species